rnacentral:rRNA from 1 species
CGGGUGAGUAAUGCCUAGGAAAUUGCCCUGAUGUGGGGGAUAACCAUUGGAAACGAUGGCUAAUACCGCAUGAUGCCUACGGGCCAAAGAGGGGGACCUUCGGGCCUCUCGCGUCAGGAUAUGCCUAGGUGGGAUUAGCUAGUUGGUGAGGUAAGGGCUCACCAAGGCGACGAUCCCUAGCUGGUCUGAGAGGAUGAUCAGCCACACUGGAACUGAGACACGGUCCAGACUCCUACGGGAGGCAGCAGUGGGGAAUAUUGCACAAUGGGCGCAAGCCUGAUGCAGCCAUGCCGCGUGUAUGAAGAAGGCCUUCGGGUUGUAAAGUACUUUCAGUCGUGAGGAAGGCGGUGUCGUUAAUAGCGGCAUUGUUUGACGUUAGCGACAGAAGAAGCACCGGCUAACUCCGUGCCAGCAGCCGCGGUAAUACGGAGGGUGCGAGCGUUAAUCGGAAUUACUGGGCGUAAAGCGCAUGCAGGUGGUUUGUUAAGUCAGAUGUGAAA